rnacentral:rRNA from 1 species
UACGUAGGGGGGCAAGCGUUGUCCGGAAUCAUUGGGCGUAAAGAGCGUGUAGGCGGCUUGGUAGGUCCGCUGUGAAAACUCGAGGCUCAACCUCGAGAUGUCGGCGGAAACCACUUGGCUAGAGUCCGGAAGAGGAGAGUGGAAUUCCUGGUGUAGCGGUGAAAUGCGCAGAUAUCAGGAAGAACACCUAUGGCGAAGGCAGCUCUCUGGGACGGUACUGACGCUGAGACGCGAAAGCGUGGGGAGCGAACAGG